GCACUGAUGGUGUAGUGGUAACAUUCAGACUUCCCAUAAGUUGUCUGUCUGAGCCCCGGGUUCGAUUCCCGGUCAGUGCA